ensembl:lncRNA
CUAAUACUCAUAAUGCAGACCACCACAACAAAAAGCCUCGUGGUGGUUUGUAUAUUGUGCAAUGGUUCAAUGGAAGUACAACGCAGUGCUAGCACUUCUCAACAGGAACACUGUGUGGGUGUGUGUGUGUGUGUGUGUGUGUGUGUGUGUGUGUGUGUGUGUGCCCAACCCCCCACACAGGCUGUCCCUCUCAGAAAUGGUGGACCUGAAGAAGUUACGCUUCUUCAUGGUCCCUCCGGACGGAGGCUCUGUCGUGACCUCGCCCGUCAGCUCCUCCACGUCCAGAGACAGGUGUUAUGAAGAGCGCUGACUAAAUGGCCUACCGUUGGAGGCGGACCUCUUCCCCUUGCGGGCCAGGGUGAGCUGGACCUGCUGCUGGACCCGGACGCUCCGGUCGACGGAGUGGAACCUGGCCGGGCUCAGGAGGCUGUGCUCGGCCGGCAGGGCCAGCCUGCUGUCGUCCAGGACCUGAGGGGGGAGAACGGACUUGAAGCAACCCUCGUCCCCCAUCCCGGAUCCCCCCGGUGUCGGUCCACGACGGCUGGUCGUCUCCCCCUGUUGUGAGGGCAUCACUUCUCCGGUAUCGGUUACGUAUUGUCGUCCGCCUGUGUGUGUUUUAUGGGACAGACCCGGUGCGCGGUGCCAGUGAAGUGCGCCAGGACGGUGUAAAGUUGCUAUGCUUUGUUUCAGGGCGUCACCCGGCGUCAUUUUACCCGAGGCUCUGUUAAAGCGAGACGCCCCGUUCCGCGGGUUCAGGUGAGAAGCUGAACGACAGUUGAGUCAUUUGCGUGGCGAGGGAAUGACGGCGGUGGAUGACACUGAGUGGUGUUGUUUUUUUACUUGAAAUUGUAGAUUAAAGCACACAUGAACACGUGCACACACACACACACGAACACGUGCACACACACACACACACACGCGUAUUUCUGUGUGUGUGUGUGUGUGUGUGUGAGAGCCAUGAUGUAUUAGAUCCAGAAUUGAUAAGCCCCCUUCAUGGCGGUCAACAGACGGCUUCCUUCCUCCUUCACAGGUCUGUCCUGUUAUCCCCCCUCCACCGCCAUGGAGGACUCCGAGUCCAUCUACUCCCCCUGCUGGUCGAUGGUCAUACUGCAGCUCAAUUAAGAUCCCUGACAAUAUAUUGCUUGAAUUUUCCCGAUGGUAACCUUUCUUUCUGUUUUCUUCUUUAAGGCGAACAAUUUGUCUGUCUUUUGUUUAAUUGUGUUUGGAACUUCGUCAUCAAGGAAUAAUCCUUAUAUUCGUUUUUACGAGCUGUAGUGGACGACACGUGACCCUAGGGGGCAGUAAGGAAGCAUACAAGUCAUUCUUUGAACUUUCAUGUGUCAUUAAAACUACAUUUAGAUUAACAUCAGACUAGCUCUUAGAAAUCAUACGUUUUACACAUACACACAACCCUACAUCUGUGUGAACUACAUCCUGAGGAACUGACAAAAACGGGGGGCACGUAUCGACGUCUGAUGUCGCAUAAGUGUUGGUGAUGAAAUGGCCUGUGAUGGAUGAGCGGUUUAUCACAGCCGGUGUUAAAAUAAGGGCCCCUCUUUUCAUGAGACAGAGCUGAACAUCAUAGUCAUGCAGCUAUUAGUUCAUAAUAAUAAAAAAUAUUCCAUAUAAUGGUUAAGGAUUUAUUUGAUUCGUCAAAUAAGGUUUAAACGACCGGAUAUGCACAUUUUUAGGUUUGCCACCAAACCAACUGACAUUUUUUUUGCACAAGAGUGUUUUCAUUUCGUUGAUUGAAGUAACAUCUGUAGUCUCUCUCCCUCUCUCUCCCACACAUACAAAAUAAACGGGGUCACAUGUCG